AUGAACGGCUUCACGCCUGGGCAGUGGGGAGGCGGCAGCCGCAGUGGCCGCUGUGGUCGCCAGUGCCUCGUCCGGGAAAUCGGGGCUGAGGGGCCGGGCGCAGGGGCGGUCUCAGCGGCUGGGCCCCUGGGGGCGGCCAGGCCGGGCUCCUGGCAACUGUGCUGCCUGCGGAGGAUGGUGAGCGGUGCGGUCGGGCAGCAGGCAACGCCAGCUUCAGCAAGAGGAUCCAGAAGAGCAUAUCCCAGAAGGUGAAGAUCGAGCUGGAUAAGAGCGCAGGCAUCUUUACAUAUGUGAUUAUCAUAAAAACUUAAUUCAGAGUAUUCGAAACAGAAGAAAGAGAAAAGGGAGUGAUGAUGAUGGAGGUGAUUCACCUGUUCAAGAUUUCGAUACCCCAGAGGUUGAUUUAUACCAAUUACAAGUAAAUACACUUAGGAGAUACAAAAGACACUUAAAGCCACCAACCAGACCAGGACUUAAUAAAGCACAACUUGUUGAGAUAGUUGGUUGCCACUUUAGGUCUAUUCCAGUGAGUGAAAAAGACACCUUAACAUAUUUCAUCUAAUCAGUGAAGAAUGACAAGAACAAAUCAGAUCUCAAGGUUGAUAGUGGUGUUCAC
rnacentral:lncRNA from 1 species